rnacentral:rRNA from 1 species
GUGGGGAAUAUUGGACAAUGGGCGAAAGCCUGAUCCAGCAAUGCCGCGUGAGUGAAGAAGGCCUUCGGGUUGUAAAGCUCUUUUACCCGGGAAGAUAAUGACUGUACCGGGAGAAUAAGCCCCGGCUAACUCCGUGCCAGCAGCCGCGGUAAUACGGAGGGGGCUAGCGUUGUUCGGAAUUACUGGGCGUAAAGUGCACGUAGGCGGCUUGGUAAGUUAGGGGUGAAAGCCUGGAGCUCAACUUCAGAAUUGCCCUUAAGACUGCUUCGCUUGAACAAGGGAGAGGUGAGUGGAAUUCCGAGUGUAGAGGUGAAAUUCGUAGAUAUUCGGAAGAACACCAGUGGCGAAGGCGGCUCACUGGACCGUAGUUGACGCUGAGGUGCGAAAGCGUGGGGAGCAAACAGGAUUAGAAACCCUUGUAGUCC